rnacentral:rRNA from 1 species
UACGUAGGGUGCGAGCGUUAAUCGGAAUUACGGGGCGUAAAGCGUGCGCAGGCGGUUCGUUGUGUCGGUGGUGAAAUCCCCGGGCUUAACCUGGGAACUGCAUUUGUGACUGGCAAGCUAGAGUAUGGCAGAGGGGGGGGUAGAAUUCCACGUGUAGCAGUGAAAUGCGUAGAGAUGUGGAGGAAUACCGAUGGCGAAGGCAGCCCCCUGGGCCAAUACUGACGCUCAUGCACGAAAGCGUGGGGAGCAAACAGG